UAGACUUAACGUCAUCUCCUAACGUGAAGUAGGAAGUGGGUACAUAAACAGACAAAGCCUUGUCAUUAAGAAGAUCAACAGUGAAACCUCAGUGGACGUCAUUUGGGACAUCUCACAGGCAGUAACAUUGGGUCACCUGAAAAAUUAACACGUAAAAAAAAAAAGAAAAGAAAAAAUCUGAAUAUCAACCAGGGACAGAUUCGCUCCCAGACGAAGCCUUGUCAUUAAGAAGAUCAACAGUGAAACCUCAGUGGACGUCAUUUGGGACAUCUCAGAGGCAGUAACAUUGGGUCACCUGAAAAAUUCACACGUA